rnacentral:rRNA from 1 species
UACGAAGGGGGCUAGCGUUGCUCGGAAUCACUGGGCGUAAAGCGCACGUAGGCGGAUUGCUAAGUCAGGGGUGAAAUCCUGGAGCUCAACUCCAGAACUGCCCUUGAUACUGGUGGUCUCGAGUCCGGGAGAGGUGAGUGGAACUGCGAGUGUAGAGGUGAAAUUCGUAGAUAUUCGCAAGAACACCAGUGGCGAAGGCGGCUCACUGGCCCGGUACUGACGCUGAGGUGCGAAAGCGUGGGGAGCAAACAGG